UCCUCGAUGGCUCAGUCGGCUAGAGCGUCUGCCAUGCAAGCAGAAGAUCCCGGGUUCGAGUCCCACUCGGGGCA